AUCUAUCCGCGCGCGCGACGGCCGUUUGCUGAGAGUGCGAUUGAACGCGAUCGUUCCUCGGGGACCUCGUUACAAAUGCACCGAACCAGAGAAUCCCGGUGUAUUGGUUUGCGUUUGGCUAAGGUCAUAGUGGAGCCGAUAUCGGUAGGUUCUGCCUGAUCUCCAUUGUGAAACCGUGAUUCUUUUGUCCGGACGAAUAAUCUCGAUGUACUUCCUUCGCAAGCUGAUCUUCUGACCGGCGAUGCUGACGCUCGAAAUUCUCGCACGCCCCGGAUAACAACAAUUUGCAAAUCAAAUCCGCCUGCAACACCAAAAGCAUUUACUGAGGGCUCGAGAACAAGGGGUUGAAUCGGUAACAAACGCACGCGGAACUACCACCUAUACGCAACGGACGGAGUCACUGCGAGAAACGUGCGUGUCCUUCCGCCCACGCAUCGCCCUAACACGACGACUACAACCAUGAGAAUUGGGUUAAUGAAAUCGUGAAAGAGGAAUGCCCUACUCUGUUACGUUUCACCUUCGCUCGCGCCGCGACCCUGCGCAUUUUUAUAGUCUCGAAUUGCUACCGACUUCUACACACAAAUAGAUCGUACGCGCCUAACAUAUACACGAACAUGUUUCCUCGCCGAAACCUCGACUCGCUGUGGAUGAUAAACAAGAACUGCAUCGUCGAGGUAGCCGAAACCCUUGGAAUUGUCCCCUAGCGCGUAGAGAAACAGGGAGAGAGAACCGUUGAGAAAGUAAGGUCCUCGUGGAAAUCAGGGGAAAAGUUGAAGCACGGUAGAACAGUGGCGAAACGUGGGAUAGACAGUCGGCAGAAAUUUUAAUUGUAAUCGGCGAGUUUAAAAAACGAGAAGUCGUGUCGCGUCGCGUCGGAUCGAGUCUCGAACGUGCUGGAUCCGUUGAAUCAUCGGUGCGCGAUCGCCUAAUCGCUGAAUAUGUAGUCUCGAACAGCAGUCGCGAAUCGUUAUACUGAUCGGAAUCGGUCGCACGAGCAACCGGAAACUUUCCGUAGCAAAGUAGUCCCCCCUCCGAUUUUUAUAGAACUCUCGCUAUCGUUUGUACGCGAGGGAUGAAAAUGACAUGUGGCUUGCAACCCCAGUUUCGGGGACUAUUUUCACCCCCUCGUCACGAGCGGCGGCCGCUAAAAAAAUACAGCAUUAUUACUGCAAACCCCCGUUCAGCUAGUUCAAUCGGUAUUUUCAUCAACGAAGUGCAAUUAGGCACUGCUAAAUUUUAUAAAUAAGAUAGAAGACGACUGCAGCGAUUACAAACGAAACAGACAUACAGCGAUAGGAUGCCGCUACAGUGCAAAGUAAAAAUGCAAGAAAGAAAAUUCGAUUUUCAAUCGUUUACAUUUGUUAGCAUAGCCUUCAAAGACGAGGAAUAUGUAUCUGUUUGAUUUGUCAGGAGUUCUCGCGUCAUGAUCGAAUCGAUACGAAACGAUGACGCUAGGCUCGGUCGAAUCGAUUUUUCUUUUGAAUUCGCGCGAGACGACGCGACGCGACGCGACGUGAGACGACGCGAAGCGGCGUGAACACGGACGCGGCGAAACGCGGACGAGACAGAUUUUACGAUCGAUUCGAAUUACUCACUCAUGCGAUCGCACGGUUAAACGCCUAAUUCAACCCCAUCUCCGCGAGCCCCCGGCCGUUCCGUCACGGUUUUCACUGCCCUUCGGUACCUCUCUGCACGCUGCACCCCUCACCAUAUGCCAGAAGCUGCGAUCAAGCUCUCGAGCGCAGAUUAUGCAGAUACGUCCUGGUUGUUGCGACGUCUCCACCACCCUACUACGCGCACUGAUUACACGUUUUCGUGUUCCUACUUUCCGAUGCAGCUGUCGCGUAACCGUUUCCCAAUCGUCCAUUAAUCAUUCCUAGCUAAACCUAUUUCGCCUAGAAAACACAUUGUUUCCUUUUAUCCGUAGAGCUUUGAUUUUCUUCGAAGCUGCUUCCUUCGCGUUUAAUACAAAUUCAACCAUUAUAUACAUGGCAGAGUAAGCAAGAUUGAUGUUACCAAAUUGAUUAAUUUGAACAAUCCGCUGUCUCACGAACAUGUCUCUCGUUUUCUCUAAUAUUAAUCCUUCGAAUAGGAUUCUCAAUUUGGUUAACACGACAUCUGGCCUGUGUUUAUACUAAGUACAUUAAUAAGAGUUGCAAAUGGCAUUUACGCCGCGUGCACAGUUAUACUUGAAAACGGUACGUCCGCGCGGUUGGCCUAACUUCGGCAAGUCCAUUACGAAACGACUGAUUUCCUCCUUCCGACAUAUACGCGGACUAAGUACGGUCUCUCGAUUGAUUUUACGGACUUUCUUAAUAUAACUGACUCGCGAGAACACUAUAAACGUCUUUAUCAUGAUCUUCUAUAAAUAAAAUACCGUGAGAGAAUCAA